AUUGAACGCUGGCGGCAGGCCUAACACAUGCAUGUCGAGCGGAUGAAGGGAGCUUGCUCCUGGAUUCAGCGGCGGACGGGUGAGUAAUGCCUAGGAAUCUGCCUGGUAGUGGGGGAUAACGUCCGGAAACGGGCGCUAAUACCGCAUACGUCCUGAGGGAGAAAGUGGGGGAUCUUCGGACCUCACGCUAUCAGAUGAGCCUAGGUCGGAUUAGCUAGUUGGUGGGGUAAAGGCCUACCAAGGCGACGAUCCGUAACUGGUCUGAGAGGAUGAUCAGUCACACUGGAACUGAGACACGGUCCAGACUCCUACGGGAGGCAGCAGUGGGGAAUAUUGGACAAUGGGCGAAAGCCUGAUCCAGCCAUGCCGCGUGUGUGAAGAAGGUCUUCGGAUUGUAAAGCACUUUAAGUUGGGAGGAAGGGCAGUAAGUUAAUACCUUGCUGUUUUGGCGUUACCAACAGAAUAAGCACCGGCUAACUUCGUG
rnacentral:rRNA from 1 species